AGUAGAUCGAGUCGUACCCGGGAUCCUCUAGAGUCUGGUUGACCCUGCCGGACCCGACUGCUAUCAGAGUGGGACUAAGCCAUGCGAGUCAACGUAGCAAUGCGUGGCGAACGGCUCAGUAACACGUAGUCAACAUGCCCAGGGGACGUGGAUAACCUCGGGAAACUGAGAUUAAACCGCGAUAGGUCAAGAUUUCUGGAAUGGAUCGUGUCUUAAAUCUACAUGGCCCCUGGAUUGGACUGCGGCCGAUCAGGCUGUUGGUGAGGUAAUGGCCCACCAAACCUAUAACCGGUACGGGCUCUGAGAGGAGAAGCCCGGAGAUGGGCACUGAGACAAGGGCCCAGGCCCUAUGGGGCGCAGCAGGCGCGAAACCUCUGCAAUGGGCGAAAGCCUGACAGGGUUACUCUGAGUGAUUUCCGCUAAGGAGAUCUUUUGGCAGCUCUAAAAAUGGUGCAGAAUAAGGGGUGGGCAAGUCUGGUGUCAGCCGCCGCGGUAAUACCAGCACCCCGAGUGGUCGGGACGAUUAUUGGGCCUAAAGCAUCCGUAGCCGGUUGUGCAAGUCCUCCGUUAAAUCCAGCCGCUCAACGGAUGGGCUGCGGAGGAUACUACAGGACUAGGAGGCGGGAGAGGCAAGCGGUACUUAGUGGGUAGGGGUAAAAUCCUUUGAUCCAUUGAAGACCACCAGUGGCGAAGGCGGCUUGCCAGAACGCGCUCGACGGUGAGGGAUGAAAGCUGGGGGAGCAAACCGGAUUAGAUACCCGGGUAGUCCCAGCUGUAAACGAUGCAGACUCGGUGAUGGGCUAGCCUCGUGUCAGCCCAGUGCCGCAGGGAAGCCGUUAAGUCUGCCGCCUGGGGAGUACGGUCGCAAGACUGAAACUUAAAGGAAUUGGCGGGGGAGCACCACAAGGGGUGAAGCCUGCGGUUCAAUGGAGUCAACGCCGGGACCGCAGGCUGCAGCUGCCUGCUUUCCCAAA
rnacentral:rRNA from 1 species